GGUUUCAUGGUGUAAUGGUUAGCACUCUGGGCUUUGAAUCCAGCGACCGAAGUUCAAAUCUAGGUGAGACCU
rnacentral:tRNA from 1 species